UAAAAAAUAACAAAGAAAAGCUGUCAUCAACACAGAGAGCAGCUGCUUGACUGUCUUGAUGUAGAAAUGAAAGGGGUAGGUCUUAGAAGGUUGAGGUCUCUGAGGGGGUCAGAAAAUUUAGCCUCUUCCCAACUGUGUUCCAAACCAAUGGAGAAAUAAGACAAGAGGUAUGCAGAGAAAGGCCAAAACAUCAACUCUAUGAUGGGGUCAAGUCUAGGUUGGAAGAAGUGGUUUCGUGUUGGGGCAAUGGACUUUGUAACUGAAUCUGAGCAUUAGACAGAUGUACCUUCCCAGUGCAGAAGAUACUGGACUAUCUCAGGCCUCCUCCAGUGAGGGCAGGACAUUGUUGUUAAGCCUACAGCACCAGGAGCCAGGAGCAGCGAACGUGAGCUCCACACAGGCAAACUAGGUUUCCAAGAAUGAAAAGUGUAGGGAGGGGCUGAGCUGAGCUUGAAUCAGAGACCAAAAACCAUACUAAUUCAGUUCCAAGAAGAGGUGAGUACAUUUCCUCUUAACAUUACCCAACUUUUUAUUCUGCUGACCUUUCAAGUUUAAUGAUUGAUGUCCUGUAUAAUUUAAAUUCUUCAGUAUAGGCUCUGUGAUGUAACUAUGUUCUUUAAUCUACACUCUGAGUAUUCAAUUUUCCUAAUUCAGGAAUAUACACUCCAGGGGUCAUUGGGCUACUAAACGUGCUUCAGCUCUCUUAAUGUCUGAUUAGCAACAGAAGCUCUGGUAAUUAGAUAAAUGGAUGUCAUCAGUCAAAUGACAGGUAUAUAAGAUGUGGGCUGGAAAUUAUAGACAAUUCCACUGUUACCUAAAAUUUUAGUGAUAGUGGAUAACAACCCAUUAAAUAAAAUUUCAUGAGUUCACACUGAAACAAAGCUCUCCCUUAUAAUAGAAAUGAAACAAUAAAAAUAAAUGAUUGAAUUAUAAACUCAUCAAUGUUACCUGAAAUAGUGGGUGUGUUUCCUGACAAACUGUGUAUUUUUAUAGUCUCAAAGUAUCUUCCUGGUGAUGGAUUAUUAAUCAUGUGAGGGUGAAAGUAGUGACUUUAUAGUGAAGAACCUUAGAGUGCCCCAUUGUAACCAAGCCAUCAAAAUUAAUAUCACCCAGUAUUGGGGCAAACCAUUGUCACAUGCAUCGCAAUAGGCUGCACGGCAUCACUUCUGUAUCAUUCCUGCCAAAAAUGUAUAACCUUAAUUUAUUCAUGAGGAGAUGUCAGGCAAAACCAAAAUGAGGAAUAGUCUACAAACUAACUAGUCUUUACUCUUCAAAAAUGUCAAGGUGGACAAAGGCAAAAAUGACUGGGAAGCGGUCCCAGCUUCAAGGAGAAGGAGAGACUUCAUGGUCCUGCAACCUGGAAAGGAAUCUAGACCAAGACAAAAAAUAGGUCUGAAACAACAUUAUGAAGGAUAGGAGGUCCCAUGGAGCUGCAGGAAUGAACAGAUAAAAGGCGGAAAACACAGGUCCUCUUCACUGGAGCAAAAUGCCCUACUCCCAUCCUUGUAGUCAGGAGCUUGGGCAAGGUGAUUUUCCACCAGAGGGAGCACUGUUGGCCAUGUUUGUCCCUGGGAUAAGACAAAGGGAACCUUCAGAGCCCACUUCCAUGUGUAUCUGAAGGAGACAUGCAAUGAAGAGGACAAAGAACAACCUCAUUUCUUGGCCAAGAUGAAAGGAAGGCAAUAUGGGUACCUUUGUAGUAGCACCAAGUUACAGAUCUCCACGUCUUCCCAAUUCUCUUAGGAAUCUUUAUCUGUACAAAGGUGGCAAGGAGGAACCAAUUAAAUAUGGAACAUACUCAGACA